GAAUGCUCCCUGUUGCAUCCAGAUACACAAUGUCCUCUUUUGAACGUUUGUGGAAAAUGUCAAUGCUUUUCUUGGACCAGAGCAUUACCCCUUUAGGGAGCAGGGAUACUUUUUGUAGCACCUCACAAGGAGAUAGACUUCAGAACACCAGGAGUUGGAGCUUCAUCCCUGCAUCCAGACUCAAGAACAGAAGUCUUUAAUUUAUGCAUGUUUUCUAGAUACAGAGCUCUUGGAAGCAUGUUUACAAGCUGCUGACUUAUUCUGGUUUGUUCUUCUGCUCUGACAGGUCGUCUUUUCAGCUCAGUUUUGCUGUGCACUACCAUUUCCCCUCUGAAGAACACAUGUGCUUUAAGUGUAGCUUCACUGUACACAACAACGUCUACUUCAACUGGGCAGUCACUGAAUGUACAAUACCCCGAGCAUUUAAAAAGGGAUUUCUCCAAGCUGAAUGUGGAAUGAAAAAGAAUGUUGGAGGUAAUGGAAGAUGCUGGGUAAAGAAUUCCUCCUUACUGUCAUCACUGGAAUCCUCCUCCUGCACAUCAUCCUCCUCCUGCACAUCAUCCUCCUCCUGCACAUCCUUCCCCACCUGGAUGUCUUCCACCUCCUGUACAUUAUCAAUUUCCACGCCUUUUCCCUUCUGUACAUGUACCACUUUCUCCACAUUUUCUUUCUCUGGCACAUCUUUUACCACAUGUACAUCUUCCAACUCCUGCACAUCCUCCUCCUGGAUGUCUUCCACCUCCUGCACAUCAGUAUCCUUCUCCUGCACAUCCUCCUCUUCCUGGAUGUCUUCCACCUUCUGCGCAUCUUUUACCUCCUGCACAUCUUUCAAAUUAUUCACAGCUUCUCCUGUAACUAAAUCCUAAGAAUAUAUAACAAACAUUAAUAUCAAUCAGUAUAGUGAUUAUCAGUACAGUGCUCACAGUAUAUUGUAGUUCUUGAUGUUUGGAAAAACAUAACAGAUUUCCCUUUUAUAUUUUUUAUUGUUAUACCCUGGUUGCUUCAAAACAUGUUAUGAGGAAGAACAUGACAGGUCAAAUUAUAUUUGCAUAUUACACCUAUAAAAUUGUUACAUACAAGGUUUGACCCAUACCUUACAGUGGCUGAAGUGUGCUCUUCUAAGUCGGUACCUAUUUGUUGAUGUAUUGGGUACUCCUAGGACUGUGCACAGCCCUGCCCAAAAGCCAUGAUCUUUCAGUGGAGAUUCACAUUUUCUAUGCUGUCUUGAUGAGCUCUGAAUCAACUGAAUCUGCUUGGAAAUAUCUUCUAAAGAAAUCUUCAAUUUCCUGCUCUGUUGAGUAAAAAAAUACAAUGUUUU